GACGAAGGAUGCAAGCGUUAUCCGGAUUCACUGGGUUUAAAGGGUGCGUAGGAGGGCAGGUAAGUCAGUGGUGAAAUCUCCGAGCUUAACUUGGAAACUGCCGUUGAUACUAUCUGUCUUGAAUAUUGUGGAGGUGAGCGGAAUAUGUCAUGUAGCGGUGAAAUGCUUAGAUAUGACAUAGAACACCAAUUGCGAAGGCAGCUCGCUACACAUAUAUUGACUCUGAGGCACGAAAGCGUGGGGAUCAAACAGG
rnacentral:rRNA from 1 species